ACCUCUAACCCGGUUAGAGUAUCCAAAACAGGGCCGAAGUGUAGGUGCUCCAGCAUCACGGCCAGAAGACCGUACCGCGGAGACGGCGUCCUGUCCCACCAAGGGAUCGUCCCCGACGCGCUGCCCUUCGCCUCGAACCGCGACAUACACCGCUGCUUAAAGGUGAGCACGGCCGGCUGCGCUACGUUCAGAUCCAUGGUGCAUGUGAGAAGCCGGCGGUCCGCAUCUGGACGCUGACCUCCAGUGAUCCGUCAAACGCGACAUGGGGGAGCCCGAUCAACCUCCCCUUUGGAUGAGGUUUGGGAGGACAGCAGCUACAGUGAUGAUGUCCGGUUGCGUCCGUGGGUCGUCCCUGCUUAAUUGGCACUGGUCCACCCCAUGAACGCCAACGAGGUCUACUUCUUCUUGGACGCAUACAUCUUCGCCAUCGACCUCACAAAGAAAAAGGUCGUGUGCUGCCAGGAGUUCAGCAUUGGGUGGCUGCCCGCCUGGUCCAUGCUUGGCAGUGGCCGGUGAAGGUCACCAAGACGAGUCCUCAGCCUGCAGGUAGGUGAAGCUGAUAGUUAUCCAAAGGCACAAUGAACUUGGACAAUAUGGAUUUAUCGUGGCAAUAGUCAUUUGGUACGAGGGCCUAACGGGUUUCAUGUCAAGGAGACUGGUUUAUUGAGUCGGUGGAAGUCGAUGGAGGAUUUCCAUAAAAAAGCCAUCAUCAUAAUCGGGUCACGUUCCGAACUGCAUGACAGGGGCAUGUAGAACAUCCAAGCACGGACUGUUUCAUUCCAGUGUUUUGGAUGGGGAAUGUUUAUCAAUUUAAUUGAUAUGUUUGGGCUUAGUGAAGUACAGUACAAAUCAGCUUAUUUGUCUGAGCACUUAGUUGUAUGAUUGCUAACAAAAUUAUGGGGCAUUACGUUUGUGUUCAGGUCUCGACGAUUACUCAGAUGACUCAGAUGCGAGCGAGGAGGAGAUUUAGCAGUGCCCCUUCGUAGCCAGCAAAACCCCUUGUCAGCUUCUUCAUUGUCACUAUGUUGCAUCUACUGUGUUGCUCUUUAAUUAUUGACUUGUCAAACGUUAGACAAAUAUGUGAUGCAUGUGGAUCGGUUUGGACGUUUUCUUUUUUUGUAAAUUGGCAAGUGAUCUGUAUGCUUCUACAUAAAAAAGAUUGUUGUGGUUUAA